ensembl:lncRNA
CCCUGUCAGCUGGACCCCAGCAGAUGGCAGCUGCUACCCGUAAGCCAUACCUGGAGCCAGGGCAGUUCUGGGUGGCCAGGAGGGGGCCCUGGGAUUCCAGAUUCUCAGCUAGGGUGCAAGCUCCCUGGUCCCCCUGCCCCGGCUCUCCCUGCGUCCUCCCUGCCCCCCCACCGGUCAGGCCCUGCUCCCGGCAGCCCCACAGGUUAGAGAAGCCAUGUCCCACAGCCGUUGUAGAUGCUCGUCGUGCACCGUCCCUCCUGUGCUCAAGCGGGCCGGGCCAGUGUCCCCUCGACCUGCCCCCCUGCGUGAGGCCCACACUUGGGUUCUGGGGCGCUGAGUGCGAGCCCCACACUUGAGGUGGAUGGGCGCCCCGGCUCCAACAGAGGAAGCACACAUGCCCGGAGGCUGCAGGCUGGACUCAAGGAGGGCGGGGAGCACCAUGGGCCCCCUGGCGAGGCGCCGGCGGGGACAGCAGUCUCCUGGGAGAUCCCGCCAGGGGUUCCAUGCCCCACGUGCCGCUCAGCCACCCCAGCAGUCCCACCACAGAGUGAAGGCCUGGGAGCAGGGAGCCUUAAAUAGCGCAGGGAAAGCUAAAGUGUUGAAGGAGGGGGCUGCCCAGCAGGAAGCAGCUUUAGUCUCUGCUCCUCUGACAUAAAGGCCCCGCCUUUGACCUUCCUGCUGGCCACUUCUGUAGUCCAAGGGCAGAGUGGUCGGCAGGCCCGAGCGGGCACCCUGCCAGCCCAGCCCAGGACCACCCCUCGAGUGGGCACGUCACGCUGAGGAGGUGAGGUGACUGAGUGGCUCUUUAAGGGGAGUGAAGGUCGGUGGGGGUGUCUGGGCCCUGAGGCUCAUCGUUUGGGGUGCGUGUGCUCCAGGGAGGAGGCCAGGACACGUGUGCAAGAGCCCCAUGGCCUUACACAAGCAUGCGAGGUGCCAGGAGCUCGCUGUGGCCUCCUGUCAGGAGCUGGCUGACUCCAGGGCGUGAGUGAAAGCCCAGCGCUGUUCUGCCUGAGCCCCUGGGCAGCCGGCCAGCAGCCUGGCUCAGGACCGCCCUCAUGUGGGCCUGAGUGUCGGAUCUGUUCUGUACAUAUUGGAAUGUGUUAACUUAUGGCCCGUUGUCCCACUUCACGCUGGAAACACGGGUCUCUCCUCAGUUUCUUUGCUGCAUCUGGAAAGCUCUCUGCCUCAGGCCAGCACCCAGGCGGAGAUGCCCAGAGACAGGCCCUGGCUGGCAGAGCCCCCAGCCCCCGAGUCUCCAGGCCAGCUCUUCCCACUGACGGUUCCUGGGCCUGCGGCAUCUCCUCGGCCCUGCGCGGGCCCCCAGGCUCCUCCCGGGGUUGAGAGGACAGACGCCAGCGCAGCGCGUGACCGCUUGUUCCCCACACAGGCCUGCGCCCUCUGCUGGAGGAGGGGCCGGGGACGGCCGACUGCCCGAGCAACGAGUCUGUGAACUUUUUGGGAACUGGAAGUGUUUAUCUUGAACCCAGGAGCGUUUAAAGCUUUAUUUAUUUAUAGCUUCUUAUUAAAAAAAAAAGUGUUGAGAAGAAAUCUUUUGGUUAUUCAUACAAAAAAAUGAUGAUGGGAAAGCAAGUCAUAAUCAUCUAAUUGUUUUUGUCUAGGUCAAGAAUGAAUGUUAGCAGAUGAAAUAAACCCUGAAAAGGAG